rnacentral:rRNA from 1 species
AGGUUAAUGAGGCGAACCGGGGGAACUGAAACAUCUAAGUACCCCGAGGAAAAGAAAUCAACCGAGAUUCCCCCAGUAGCGGCGAGCGAACGGGGAGGAGCCCAGAGCCUGAAUCAGUGUGUGUGUUAGUGGAAGCGUCUGGAAAGGCGCGCGAUACAGGGUGACAGCCCCGUACACAAAAAUGCACAUGCUGUGAGCUCGAUGAGUAGGGCGGGACACGUGGUAUCCUGUCUGAAUAUGGGGGGACCAUCCUCCAAGGCUAAAUACUCCUGACUGACCGAUAGUGAACCAGUACCGUGAGGGAAAGGCGAAAAGAACCCCGGCGAGGGGAGUGAAAAAGAACCUGAAACCGUGUACGUACAAGCAGUGGGAGCACGCUUAGGCGUGUGACUGCGUACCUUUUGUAUAAUGGGUCAGCGACUUAUAUUCUGUAGCAAGGUUAACCGAAUAGGGGAGCCGAAGGGAAACCGAGUCUUAACUGGGCGUUAAGUUGCAGGGUAUAGACCCGAAACCCGGUGAUCUAGCCAUGGGCAGGUUGAAGGUUGGGUAACACUAACUGGAGGACCGAACCGACUAAUGUUGAAAAAUUAGCGGAUGACUUGUGGCUGGGGGUGAAAGGCCAAUCAAACCGGGAGAUAGCUGGUUCUCCCCGAAAGCUAUUUAGGUAGCGCCUCGUGAAUUCAUCUCCGGGGGUAGAGCACUGUUUCGGCAAGGGGGUCAUCCCGACUUACCAACCCGAUGCAAACUGCGAAUACCGGAGAAUGUUAUCACGGGAGACACACGGCGGGUGCUAACGUCCGUCGUGAAGAGGGAAACAACCCAGACCGCCAGCUAAGGUCCCAAAGUCAUGGUUAAGUGGGAAACGAUGUGGGAAGGCCCAGACAGCCAGGAUGUUGGCUUAGAAGCAGCCAUCAUUUAAAGAAAGCGUAAUAGCUCACUGGUCGAGUCGGCCUGCGCGGAAGAUGUAACGGGGCUAAACCAUGCAC